rnacentral:rRNA from 1 species
CCCUUAGAGUUUGAUCCUGGCUCAGGAUGAACGCUAGCUACAGGCUUAACGCAUGCAAGUCGAGGGGAAACGACAUCGAAAGCUUGCUUUUGAUGGGCGUCGACCGGCGCACGGGUGAGUAACGCGUAUCCAACCUGCCCAUCACUUGGGGAUAACCUUGCGAAAGUAAGACUAAUACCCAAUGAUAUCUCUAGAAGACAUCUGAAGGAGAUUAAAGAUUCAUCGGUGAUGGAUGGGGAUGCGUCUGAUUAGCUUGUUGGCGGGGUAACGGCCCACCAAGGCGACGAUCAGUAGGGGUUCUGAGAGGAAGGUCCCCCACAUUGGAACUGAGACACGGUCCAAACUCCUACGGGAGGCAGCAGUGAGGAAUAUUGGUCAAUGGGCGAGAGCCUGAACCAGCCAAGUAGCGUGCAGGAUGACGGCCCUAUGGGUUGUAAACUGCUUUUAUAAGGGAAUAAAGUGAGCCUCGUGAGGCUUUUGC